rnacentral:rRNA from 1 species
GGAAUUGACGGGGACCCGCACAAGCAGCGGAGCGUGUGGUUUAAUUCGUUGCUACACGAAGAACUUACCUGGGUUUGACAUAUAGGUUGUAGGGAACUGAAAGGGACCGACCCUUCGGGGAGCCUAUACAGGUGUUGCAUGGCUGUCGUCAGCUCGUGUCGUGAGAUGUUCGGUUAAGUCCGCUAACGAGCGCAACCCUCGUCGCAUGUUAUAUGUGUCAUACGAGACUGCCGGUAAAAGCCGGAGGAAGGUGAGGAUGAUGUCAAGUCAGCAUGACCUUUAUAUCCAGGGCUACACACACGCUACAAUGGUCUGUACAAUGGGUAGCCAAGCCGCGAGGCGGAGCCAAUCCUGAAAGCAGGCCUCAGUUCAGAUUGCAGUCUGCAACUCGACUGCAUGAAGCCGGAGUUGCUAGUAACCGCAGGUCAGCAAUACUGCGGUGAAUACGUUCCCGGGUCUU